rnacentral:misc_RNA from 1 species
GAAAUGCGAUAAUUAAUGUGAAUUGCAGAAUUCAGUGAAUCAUCGAGUCUUUGAACGCACAUUGCGCCCCCUGGUAUUCCGGGGGGCAUGCCUGUCCGAGCGUCAUUGCUGCCCUCAAGCACGGCUUGUGUGUUGGGCUUCCGUCCCUGGCAACGGGGACGGGCCCAAAAGGCAGUGGCGGCACCAUGUCUGGUCCUCGAGCGUAUGGGGCUUUGUCACCCGCUCCCGUAGGUCCAGCUGGCAGCUAGCCUCGCAACCAAUCUUUUUAACCAGGUUGACCUCGGAUCAGGUAGGGAUACCCGCUGAACUUAAGC